rnacentral:pre_miRNA from 1 species
UUGUGUGGCAUGAUCCAAAGCUCAUUGAAGUCAAUGGAAGUCUUUCCAUUGACUCCAGUAGGGUUUGGAUUAGGCCCAUGAAA